UACAGAGGUGGCAAGCGUUGUUCGGAAUUACUGGGCGUAAAGGGCGCGUAGGCGGUUCGUUAAGUCCUGUGUGAAAUCCCCCGGCUCAACUGGGGAACUGCACAGGAAACUAGCGGGCUUGAGUUCGGGAGAGGGAAGCGGAAUCCGGGUGUAGCGGUGAAAUGACGUAGAUAUCCGGAGGAACACCGGUGGCGAAGGCGG
rnacentral:rRNA from 1 species